UCUGAGGCCCGGCGUGGAUACAGAGAAGUCGGGCUGUCAGG
rfam:Takifugu rubripes chromosome, Chr_21